rnacentral:rRNA from 1 species
CAGUAGCCACGGUAAUACGUAGGGUGCAAGCGUUAAUCGGAAUUACUGGGCGUAAAGCGUGCGCAGGCGGUUUUGUAAGACAGAGGUGAAAUCCCCAGGCUUAACUUGGGACGUGCAUUUGAAACUGGGUGACUAGAGUGUGUCAGAGGAGGUAGAAUUCCACAUGUAGCGGUGGAAUGCGUAGAGAUGUGGAGGAAUACCGAUGGCGAAGGCAGCCUCCUGGGAUAACACUGACGUUGAGGCUCGAAAGCGUGGGGAGCAAACAGGAUUAGAUACCCCAGUAGUCCCUGUCUCUUAUACA